UACGUAGGGGGCUAGCGUUGUCCGGAAUCAUUGGGCGUAAAGCGCGUGUAGGCGGCCCGAUAAGUCCGCUGUGAAAGUCCAGGGCUCAACCCUGGGAUGCCGGUGGAUACUGUCGGGCUCGAGUCCGGAAGAGGCGAGUGGAAUUCCUGGUGUAGCGGUGAAAUGCGCAGAUAUCAGGAAGAACACCCGUGGCGAAAGCGGCUCUCUGGACGGUACUGACGCUGAGACGCGAAGCGUGGGAGCGAACAGG
rnacentral:rRNA from 1 species